CAAAAACAUUGCCUCAUGAACUUAUUAUAUGAGGUAACUCCUGCCCAGUGACAAAUGUUCAACGGCCGCGGUAUCCUAACCGUGCAAAGGUAGCAUAAUCAUUUGCCUAUUAAUUGUAGGCUAGAAUGAACGGAUUAACGAAAUAAUAACUGUCUCAGUUAGUAAACUAAAAAUUAUUAUUCACAUGAAGAAAUGUGAAUAACAUCGAAGGACAAGAAGACCCUAUAGAGCUUUAUUUAACCACAGAUCAUAUCCAGUGUAAUAAUUCGGUUGGGGCGACCAGGGGAUAUUAAUCACCCCUAAUAAUAAAGAUACAUUUAUCAUUAAAAUGACCCUUAUAAGAUCACUAGAACAAGCUACCUUAGGGAUAACAGGUUAAUCCCAUUCAAGAGUCCAUAUCUACAAUGGGGCUUGACACCUCGAUGUUGGCUUAGGUAACUAUAUAGCGCAAAAGUUAUAUUAUGUUGGUUUGUUCAACCAAUAAUAUCCUACGUGAUCU
rnacentral:rRNA from 1 species